rnacentral:rRNA from 1 species
AACAGAGACAAACGGGGGCAUUUGUAUGGUCCCGUGAGAGGUGAAAUUCUUGGACCGUGGCCAGACAAACUACAGCGAAAGCAUUUGCCAAGAAUGUUUUUAUUAAUCAAGAACGAAAGUCAGAGGUUCGAAGGCGAUCAGAUACCGCCCUAGUUCUGACCGUAAACGAUGCCAACUAGCGAUCCGCCGAUGGAAAUUAUAUUGCCUUGGUGGGGAGCUUCCCGGAAACGAAAGUCUUCCGGUUCCGGGGGAAGUAUGGUUGCAAAGCUGAAACUUAAAGGAAUUGACGGAAGGGCACCACCAGGAGUGGAGCCUGCGGCUUAAUUUGACUCAACACGGGGAAACUCACCCGGCCCGGACACUGUGAGGAUUGACAGAUUGAUAGCUUUUUCAUGAUUCAGUGGAUGGUGGUGCAUGGCCGUUCUUAGUUCGUGGAGUGAUUUGUCUGGUUUAUUCCGAUAACGAGCGAGACUCUAACCUACUAAAUAGUUGGUACAUACUCUUAGUGUAUACAGCUUCUUAGAGGGAUUUGCGGCGUUCAGCCGAAAGAAAUUGAGCAAUAACAGGUCUGUGAUGCCCUUAGAUGUCCGGGGCUGCACGCGCGCUACACUGGCAAAAUCAACGUGCUUGUCCUACCCUGAAAGGGGCGGGUAAACCAUUGAAAAUUUGCCGUGAUUGGGAUCGGAAAUUGCAAUUAUUUUCCGUGAACGAGGAAUUCCAAGUAAGUGCGAGUCAUCAGCUCGCGUUGAUUACGUCCCUGCCCUUUGUACACACCGCCCGUCGCUGCCCGGGACUGAGCCAUUUCGAGAAAUUUGGGGACCGUUGAUUUAAUUUUUCUAAAUUACUUUGAUGGAAACCAAUUUAAUCG